UUUUAUUAAAAAAUAAAAAAAAAUUUGAGUAGUAAUAGUUAUUUUCUUGAAACUUAAAAAAUUUGGCGGUAUUUUAAUCUAUUCAGAGGAACUUGUUUUAUAAUUGAUGAUCCUCAUUUUAUCUUACUUAAUUUUGUUUAAUUUGUAUAUCGUUGUCAUAAGAAAAUCUUAAAAAAGAAAAAAUUUUCUAAUUUAAUUAAUAUUUUAUAUGUCAGAUCAAGGUGCAGUUUAUAAUUAAGUAAAAAUGAGUUACAAUUAAUAAUAUUAAUUAUGAAUAAUAAAUUUAAAAUUUUAUUUGAAGGAGGAUUUGAUAGUAAAAUUUAUUAGAAAAUAAUUUUGAUUAUAGCUCUAAAAUAUGC
rnacentral:rRNA from 1 species